rnacentral:rRNA from 1 species
UCGGCUUAGAGUUUGAUCAUGGCUCAGAUUGAACGCUGGCGGCAGGCUUAACACAUGCAAGUCGAACGGUAAAGUAGCUUGCUACUUACGAGUGGCGGACGGGUGAGUAACGUAUGGGAAUUUACCGAAUGGAGGGGGACAACAGUUGGAAACGGCUGCUAAUACCGCAUAACGUCGAGAGGCCAAAGGGUUUCGACUUGCCAUUUGAUGAGCCCAUAUGAGAUUAGCUAGUUGGUGUGGUAAUGGGUCACCAAGGCGACGAUCUCUAGCUGGUUUGAGAGGAUGACCAGCCACACUGGGACUGAGACACGGCCCAGACUCCUACGGGAGGCAGCAGUGGGGAAUAUUGCACAAUGGGGG